rnacentral:tRNA from 1 species
UGAUGUAGCUCAGUCGGUAGAGCGCAUCCUUGGUAAGGAUGAGGUCACCGGUUCGAAUCCGGUCAUCA